rnacentral:lncRNA from 1 species
CUGGACUCUAUUGAAUCCCUUCCUCUCUAGGAUCUAAAACAGGUUGUUUCCCUGCCCCUGCUCUUUCCAGGUGGGAUGCUUGACAGAACAAUGUUCCUGCUCCAGUGGGAUCUGGGCUUGGGUCCUCCUGGAGAGUGAAACAAGUUCAGCUGCUUUUUGGUUCCUUCUGGGAGGAAAGACCUUGAGCCAUAAGUGGGACAAUGCCUCACCUCAGGGCAGGCAAGGUCAUUGUACCAGUGACAUUGGUCUUUCUUUACAGGAAGGACAGUGGAGGCAAACAUCAAAGGGGCCCUGGAAUCCUUUCGAGAGAAGGACCUCCAGCAGAUUUCUGAAAAAAUGCAAGCUCUGCAGACAGUUUUGCAGAACAUGCAGGGGUCCACAGAGCAGCACCUGGAGAUCCUGAGAGCAGACAUGGAGAACCAAUUAGGAAGGACAGUGCAGACAAACAUCAAACGGGCCCUGAAUUCCUUUCGAGAAAAGGACCUCCAACGGAUUUCUCAACAAGUGCAAGCACUGCGGACAGGUUUGCAGGACAAUCAGAGGUCUCCAGAGCAGCACCUGGAGAUCCUGAGAGCAGACAUGGAGAACCAAUUAGGAAGGACAGUGGAGGCAAACAUCACACGAGCUCUAGAAUCCUUUCGAGAAAAGUAUCUCCAGCAGAUCUCUCAACAAGUGCAAGCACUGCAGACAGAUUUGCAGAACAUGCAGGGGUCCACAGAGCAGCACCUGGAGAUCCUGAGAACAGACAUGGAGAACCAAUUAGGAAGGACAGUGGAAGCAAACACAGCAAAGGCCCUGGAUUCCUUUGGAGAGAAGGCCCUCCAGCAGAUCUCUCAGCAAAUACAGAUGCUGCAGACAGCUUUUCAGAACAUGUCGAGGUUAACACAGCAGGACCUGGAGAACCUCAGA